CGCUAACCCUGUGCAACAGCGCUAACCCCGGGCAACAGCGCUAACCCCGGACAACAGCGCUAACCCCGGACAACAGCGCUAACCCCCGACAACAGCGCUAACCCCCGACAACAGCGCUAACCCUGGGCAACAGCGCUAACCCCCGACAACAGCGCUAACCCCGGGCAACAGUGCUAACCCCGGACAACAGCGCUAACCCCCGACAACAGCGCUAACCCCGGGCAACAGCGCUAACCCCCGACAACAGCGCUAACCCCGGACAACAGCGCUAACCUCGGACAACGGCGCUAACCUCGGACAACGGCGCUAACCCCGGACAACGGCGCUAACCCCGGACAACGGCGCUAACCUCGGACAACAGCGCUAACCCCGGACAACGGCGCUAACCCCGGACAACGGCGCUAACCCCGGACAACAGCGCUAACCCCGGACAACAGCACUAACCCCGGGCAACGGCGCUAACCCCGGGCAAAAUGGCUAACCCUGGGCAACAGCGCCGACGGAGCCAACAGGGUGAAUCGGUUGGAGGAGGCGGAGCUAGCCGGUGAGACCCAGAGUCUCCAAUCAAAUGAGGGCUGUGAGAUGGUGUCAGUCGGCCGCUUUAAGGGUCCUGAUGAGACUCUUAAAUAACUUCUACACGCCAAAGCAAACACGUGAUGUAUAGCGACUGGUUUUGUCUUCAGUUGGGUUUGUUUGUUUGUUUGUUUGUUAACAGGAUUAUGGUGAAACUCUCCCGUCUGUCCAUGAAACCUGCUGGAGGAAUGAAACCUCUUCUUCGCCCUCGUCGGCCGUGGAGUGUAUUUCUUCUGGGGGAGGAAGACGAUAUGAACUCUCCCUGACCUCUGAGGACAGACGGAGGCCUGAGUCCUCAAACUCUCUUUGAGCGGUGCAGAUGUCUGUGGUGAUGUCGCUCGCCCUUCUCCCACUCGCACUCAAAAUAAAAGCGCUCGCUGCCCCUGAAGGGUGCUUGGAAUGAAAACAUCCACGGACGAAUGCUUCCCACCGCGCCGUCCGGCGGGCGCAUUCAGGGCGCUAAGCGGCUGUUACCAACUCAACAUCUGUUUUCUGUUAUUCACGAUGUUCAGAUCUGAUCAUACAGGAAGCUACCCCCCCCCCCCCCCCUCUCUUGUAUGUUUAUAGGCGAAACACACAAAUGAAUAACUGCAUUAAACACGUGGAUCUGGCGCUGAGUCUGCGAUUAUCAUUUGCAUUGUGGGUAUUGUUUCACACGGUCCUGAUCCGAUAUGCAGAUUUCCCUGUGGCUGCGAGUGUUUUUAGGAAUAAAGGCUUUGCUGGAC